UUUUCCAUUCUCUCUCCAAAAUAGAUGCUUCUUCUCCUCCCUUUCCUUUUCUUCACAAAUUCCAUUGUUGCUCAGCCAUGGCAGACCUGCCAUUACCAUUUUUGAACAAGAAGCUCUGCACCUCAUUUAAUUUUCUUCAACAUCAACAUUCAAAUUUCAAACGUUCAAGAGCUUUUCACUCAAUUUCAAAAUCCCGCCCAAACCAAGAACCCUAGAUAUCAGCCUAUAAAUACCCGCCUUUGAAGAGAUUUUCGACCAAGCUGAGAGCUGCCCCUUUUACCCCAAAAAUUGAAGGUCUUCAGCUGUUGCCUUCACCCUUUGAGACCAAACUUAGAGCCACCGCUCUUUCCCUCUAUAAAUUAUUCUAUGCUUAUGAACUGUUAUUCAUCUCAGAAAAGCUUCAUUCUUUUUGACUCCACAACUACUUCUGUUGGAUAUUUACGCUUGCAUAAAAUCGAUUAUCUUCAUUUAUUUUAGUCAAAUAUGCGUUUGUCCUAGAGGAAAGAGUGGUCUUAAAAUUAGAGUUCGAUAACGCAUCUAAGAUCCGUGCCUCGGUUCGCUGCUCCGCAACAGAGUCUUAAUUCGAGACUCGCAGUGGAGUCUCAUAGAGACUCAAUAUUACCCCAUCACCACAUGGAGUCGUUACAUACCAUCUUCUUUAGAGCACCAGAUAGCGAGGAAAACAAGCGAAUCGCUUGGGAUCGCCUAUGGCGGCUUUGUUUUCUACUUAUUCUGUCUGAUGUUGUUAAUCUUUGUGAUUUGUUUAUUUGAACUUAUGAUUGAUGAUUAAUUUUAUCAUUUAAAAUUACAACUUUAGUUUUGGCAAAGUAUUUUAUUGAAAAAAGGACUUAAAAGGAUAGUGCUAAGAGCUUUGGGGAGAUAGUUACCAAUUGAGUCUUUAUUUUUUUUUAAACUUUUGAGAAAGUAUUUUUAUAAGCUAAGAUAGAAUUUGAACAUAUUUUCAAAUCAAUUGACUCUUUACUCAAAAGGACGCCUUUUUCACGAUAAGCUUUUUGAUAAAUUUGAGUUGAAUAUUUAACCAAACUACAUCGGAACUUUGAUCCAUUUCCUAAGUAAAAAAGACAGUUUUUCUCAAGUUUAGUUUUAAUAAAAUUUCAAUCCAACAUGUAAUUUUUUUGUUUUGAAACCUAAGCAUAUUUUGCUAAUUCAAAAUAUUUAGAUUUGGAUUUGAAAUUUGAUUUCUUUUAAAAGACGUCCUAGUCCAUAGAGAUUCUUUCUGGAGUCACUUUUUUAGCUGUAAACUAAUCUAAGUUGGGCGGUUAACCAUUUUUAAUGGAUCUUAAAAGGUGCUUUACCCCUUCCUUUUAAAAUAAUUAGAACCCUUACCUAGAAUUUUUAAGACUAAGCAGACCAUAUAAAACAGAGUUAACUUUAAGCAUUACUUAGUUAAAAUUUGUGUCCUAAUUCACCAUUAAUACAAUUAGGUGGCGACUCUUUUAAUUAAUUAAACCUCAAAUUUACCAAUAUGUUAUACUCUAAUUUGACCCAUGUUAAAAUGGGGUAUAACAGCUUGGCGACUCUGUUGGGGAUUUCUAGGUUCUAAACCACAACAAACUUAGGUUAAUAAUAAAAAUUAAUUUGUGUGUUUUUGAUUGUUAUGAUGUUUAUUUGAAUUGCCGUUAUAAGAUAAAUGGUAUUUUAUGAAUUGUUCAUCUAUUCUUUUUGCUUUAUAUAAAUUGUCAUUCCCAUUUCACUUCCUCCACUUCUGGAAAAUUCACACAAAGCAUACACCUAGCGGUUACGUGGUUUGCGGCCGUGCACUACUCAAAAUACCUUUUAAGGAAAAGUUCGUAGGUAAGUCGAUCAACGGUGCAAUCGACAGUCAUGGGCUUUCCGCUCUCAAGUGUCAACUUGGGACCAGACCAGUCUAGAAAACCCAUUCUUAGUCAACCUAAGAUAGAGCUAAACCAAAACCCUUUUAAGAGCAUGCAUCAUUUUAACCUUAGGUGAUUUAAUACCCGAGGUGUAUUAAACCCAUUAGUUGACAUUACCUAAAUGUUCAAGUGGGUUUUCAACCCCAAAUGACCCCUUAUCACGUAAAUGUGCAUUAUUUGAAGGGUGAACAUGCCAAUUAUGUGGAUCAUUUACUUUAAAUUAAUAAUAUCCAAGUUAAAGAAGCAUGACUAUCUUUUUUA